rnacentral:rRNA from 1 species
UACUAUUUAACUUAGGUACAACCCUGCCCUCUGACUUUUAACAGCCGCGGUAUCCUAACCGUGCUAAGGUAGCAUAAUCACUUGCCUAUUAAUUAUAGGCUAGAAUGAACGGGAUCACUCACUUAAACUUAUUUUUAUUUAAAUUUAAAUUAAACUUUAAGUCAAAAUACUAAAUUAAAAAGAAAGACAAAAAGACCCUGAAAACUAUUAGAAAUAAUUAGUUGGGGCAACUAUAGACCACUCUAGCGUCUAUUUUUUUAAACUCUUAAAAUCUAAAGUAUCCAGUUACUUCAGGGAUAACAGACUAAUUUUAUUAUUUAGACCCAAUAAAUAAUAAAGAUUGGCACCUCGAUGUUGGCUUAUAUUUCCUUCAUAUAGCAACAUAUAUAGAAGGCAGGCUUGUUCAUC